AUAAUGAUACUUCUGCCAAGCCACAGCGGUGCAAAAGCACCAUCACGCAAUGGGGGCAGCUCGGAGAAAUCCUCGGAGGGGUUAGAUGCCCAUGG
rnacentral:ncRNA from 1 species